GAUUUCUGGUACGGCGCACUUGGCCCGUCGCGGUUACGCGUAUGUGUGCCGGUGUGCGCCUGCCAUCCAUCUGGAGAACGCCGUCGCCCUUCACUGGGUGGGCGGUGGUAUCCAGAUCUUUUACUUUGAAAAAAUUAGAGUGUUUAAAGCAGGCUUGCGCCUUGAAUACAUUAGCAUGGAAUAAUAAUUUAGGACUUUGUCUCCUAUUUUGUUGGUUUUAAGGGAUGAAGUAAUGAUUGAUAGGGAUAGUUGGGGGUGCUAGUAUUCAUCGGCCAGAGGUGAAAUUCUUGGAUUCGAUGAAGACUAACUUAUGCGAAAGCAUU
rnacentral:rRNA from 1 species